rnacentral:rRNA from 1 species
UACGUAGGGUGCGAGCGUUAAUCGGAAUUACUGGGCGUAAAGGGUCUGUAGGUGGCCAACUAAGUCAGACGUGAAACCUCCAUCGCUUAACUGGGGAACUGCGUCUGAUACUGGAUGGCUAGAGUCCGGAAGAGGCGGAGUGGAAUUCCUGGUGUAGCGGUGAAAUGCGCAGAUAUCAGGAGGAACACCGAUUGCGAAGGCGGGUAGCUGGGCCGACACUGACGCUGAUGCGCGAAAGCCAGGGGAGCGAACGGG